CUGUGGGCGGGGGCGGAGGCGGGGGCGGAGGCGGGGGCAGGACCUCCCGAGAGCUACCUUCACCACCUGAAGAGCCUGCCUUCUUUCUUCCUCUUCUCCAAUGGAUCCUACCCACGUCUUGUUGGCACCAGGACAACACAGUCCCCAGAGGAGAAGGGACUAGGCUAGAUUUCAACCUGGAAAGAAACACAGGAUUCAUGGAACCCCUCAUUUUCUGGAAGAAGAGACUGAGGCUCCAAGAGUAGAAGUCACUCUCCUGAUGAGAUUGCAAACAUUUCAUGUUCAAUUAUUAUCGAAGCUCCAGAGGAGUCCUCCCUGGAGGAGCUGACCGAUGGCGAGUCAAGAUGGGAAGGACCUGAGCUGCCCCAGUUCUUCGGCAUUACGAGCUUGCACGCAGAAGCUGAGCCUUUGUCCAAUGGAGCCCCCACCAAGUCGAGGAAUCCAGGGCUCUCUAAAUGUCCUUAGCCUGAGGCACACAUACCGAGGAAUCUGGGCCAGGGGAUUUGGAUCCUGCCUCACACACUCAAUAGCCACGUGACCCUAAAUAAGUCAUCUACUGUUCCUGAGGCUGCUUCACCCUGUGGAGCUUCUAUUCUAACCAGGCUCUUGUUGCUCAAAUGAGUCACUCAGUGAUGGCUCCAUGCUUGUCUAUCAAUCAGAGAUUAGAUUUCAGCCUACCACAUCAAACCACAGUUAUCAGCAUCAAAAAAAAAAAAAAAUCUACAACCCUGCGUAGCCUGGGAUAAUAAUUCAUCAUCGUAGACAGCUACGUGAAUGCUUUGACUUCUCUUCGUUUCCCUGUCUAUCACUGGUCUGGUUGUCAAAUUGAAUGAUUCUCUUAAAAUUUUCCUGGGAUACUCAUCCCUCACGUUAGAGAAUUAUUUGGAGAGUUGCCACCCAGAGCUUCAGGACAUUUAAAAAUCUUCACUCAUCUUCAACAACAUUAUCAACAUCAUCAGCUGAGAUAAAACACCCAAACAUAUGUAUCUGUGCCUCAUCAGCUUGGAUACAGUAUAACUUGAAAGAUCACAUCUCCAUCUUGCUUGUUUGUGUUGCAUAAAGCAUGUCAUCUUACAAGUUUGCCAGAUCUUCCCGACUAUCUCCUGACUUUUUGGGAAUUCAACGGAACACCAGUAGGCUAUCUCAAUCUUGCCAUGUGAUGGAAUCAUGUUCUCUUCCUUGUUUUCUUCUUUUAUGAAGUUCUUCACCAAUUAUAAUAUCCUGUUCACACUCACCAUGCAACUCUUGCCUUAUGCUAGAUAUUCAUUUUUAAUUUUUCAUAAACUGAUCUAGUCCAGAAUGAAGGGAACCUGAACAAGGGUUGAUAAGGAUGUAUUUGCUUGGAGUCUUGAACAUUGAAUCAAAAGAUUUUCAAGCUCAACAAAAGAAAGAAUAGAAAGAGACCCCCCCCACACACACACACACAUUCACACAUAAUCAGUGACGCUAGAUAGCCAUAGAGGCUAAUCACCAUGUUAGUGGAACAACAGCAGUCCAGAUGUUGAGUAAUUCACAGGAGACCAAAAUUUUACGUGCACUUUUGUUUUGAGGAAAACAUGUAUUCAAUGUAGGAGAGACGGGAAUGCAAGAGAAUGAAAUUCUAAAGAUAAAAGGAAAACAAAAGCAUAAAAAUAAAAUCUAAGGAGACAGUGAAUGCAUAAAACAGUGAUAAAUGGCU